rnacentral:lncRNA from 1 species
CUGGUCUACAAAGUGAGUUCCAGGACAGCCAGAGCUAUAAAGAGAAACCCUGUCUUGAAAAACCAAAAAAAAAAAAAAAGAAAAAAAAAAGAAAAAAGAGAGAUCUCCCUUCCUAUUUAAGGCUGUUGCUUUGAGGGACUGACAUAUAAUAGCUCAGGGCUAGAGGUUAGCAGGUUGUUCCUAGAGCCUAGAGGGGAAGGUCUUGAUCUGGUCCAUUUCUGAGCUGGCUUUCGUUAUCAGAUUUUAAUAUCUAAAUCUUGACUCUGGCAGUCCCAACAAGCUAGAGUUGGUCCUUUGGUGACAGUACACUACUUAAAGAGAUACUUAGCGGCUGGAAAGAUGGCUCAGCAGGGUUAAGAGCACUGACUGCUCUGGCCCAGAGGUCCUGAGUUCAAUUCCCAGCAACCACAUGGUGGCUCACAACCAUCUAUAAUGGGAUCCGAUGCCCUCUUCUGGUGUGUCUGAAGACAGAUAUAGUGUACUCAUAUAAAUACAAUAAAUCUUAAAAAAAAAAGAAAGGAAGAAAGAAAAAGAAAUACUUAGCGACCAAAGGCAGAGAAAGGAUAUUUGUCCAGUGUGGUUACACUGUGAUGUUUAGAUGAAGGUGUCCAAGGACCCCAUGUCCAUCCUUUUAGGUUUAAAGAGAGGGCAAGAGGCAUGAGGACUAAGCAGUCCUCUUGACUGGCCCACCGUUGCCCAUCACCGUCUCAGUUCAUGUCUGCCUUACAAGGUGGUUCAAUAAAUACAGUUGCUAAUCCACCAGCUGCAGAGCAAGCGAGAGAGAGAGAGAGAGAGAGAGAGAGAGAGAGAGAGAGAGCAAGAGCGCACUCGAGAGAGAGAGAGAGCCUUACCCAUGGAUAGUUCUCAUCUGGGGAUGUGAGGGUUCUAGGUGUCCCCUGAGUUGUGUGCUGGGUGUCUCAAAGAAAGGUUAAGGAGCGCCUCUCACUGAGGCUUCAAGCAAACCAGAAGGAACGCAGCCGAGAUGCCAGCUUUCAUCCCGGUUUUCAUUGCCUUUCCGAGUUGUCAUUGUGAUACUACGGGGUUUCUCAUCUCUGGGCCUCGUCCUCCUGUCUGUCUUCCUGGAAACUGGGAGGGUGGAGCUGGGGAGUCAUUUUGUUAGUUUGUUUUGGGAUGUGUGUGUGUUUUCAAGAUAGGAUCUCACCACGUAGCCCUGGCUGUCCUGAAACUCACUCUGUUGAUCAGGCUGACCUUGAACUCACAGAGAUCUAUCUGUCUCUGCCUCCCGAGUGCUGGGAUUAAAGCUGUGUGGUUACUGCCUGGCUAGGGGCUCAGGAAUCUGGCUUGGGAAAGGAUUCUCUCAAGGUUUGAGCAGAGUCAUCCCUCAGUGUGAGGGGCUGGGCUUGAAGGCUGGCACCAUGGCUAGCUCACCUUGCUGGGGACACCGACAAAGGUCAGCCGGUUGCCUUGGCCUCUUUGGGUUCUGGUUUAUUGGUGAGGGGAGCUGGUCUCUCUGGAGAUUACCCGAGUUUCUUUUCAUUUAAUUGAUGUAUUGCUUGUAUCCGUAUAGGUGUUUUGUCUGCAUGUAUGUCAGUGCUCCACAGGCAUGCUUGGUGCCUACGGAGGCCAGAAGAGGACAUCAGGUCCCCUGUGAGUUACAGAUAGCUGCGAGCUGCCACGUGGGUACUUAGAAUUGAACUCAGGUUCCCUGGAAGAACAGCCAAUGCUGUUGACUUGGAAAUCAGCAGUUCAGUUCACAGGAAUCAGCAGCAGAAGCUCGACCCACUCGCAGACACGAUACAGAUAUAACAGCAGUCCAGUUCCUUAGAGUCGGAAUAGCAAACAUGAAUCAGCGGCAGAAGCAUGAUCCAGCAGAAACAGCCAGGCCUCAGUUGAGUCAGCACAAGUCAGCCGAAGGGACCAGGACCACUAGGGAUGCCAGGAGAAGUUCUUUGCUGUGCCUCUCUCAAAGAAGCAGAGAUUAGUGAAGAUUCAAGACCAAGAAGAGUUACAAAGUUACUUAUGCAAGCCAGCCCCUAUCAAUGUCCAUUGGGUCCUAUUUAUAUUCCCUCAAAACAUCGUGUGCCCUCUACAGGUCUUGCCUCACCACCUGUCUUUCCUCAGUCCAUGAGUGUUGCCUUAGCAAAACUCCACGUGCGUCUUUAUCUGACAUCGUUCUAUCGGUCAGAGUCUUUGGAAGAGGCAAGAAGCCGCAGGAAUCUCUCCAUUUAUUUCUCUCUAUGAGUCUUGACCAUUGGAGCUCAACAACGCAUGUAAAGUGAACCAAUACAUGUGUGUCAUUAUCGAAGAAUCCUUCAUCAUGUGUCCUUUCAUGUGCUUGCUUUAGCAAAACAUUCUUCCACCUGUGUCUGCUUCAGCGAAACGUUCCUUCACAUGUCUGACUCCACCCAACACAACUGACUUUCCAAAGAACUGUUAAGUUUCCACUUCCCAGGGUGGGGGUACAUGCAUGAUGUGUAUGGAGGUCAAAGGACAACUUGUGGGAGUUGGUUCCGUCUUUUCACAGUGUAAGCUAAGGAAGCGCCGGUCAUCGGUCAUUGGCUUGGCAGCAAACACACUGAGAUAGCUCUUUCUAGCCCAACCCUCAGCUUUUCUUUCCUCCUCCCCUUCCUUCCUCCUCCUCCUCCUCUCUUCUUUGUCUUCUCCUUUCUCCCAUCUCAGGCUUGGAGAUAGAAGUUUCUGAUCUGGAUCUUGGUAUGGAGAUCUUAAGGCUUAGUGGCUAUGGAUUCCAGAAGAUUAAAUCUCCGAGUUCAAGGUCAUCUGGAUUGAAAGGUGUGGUGGAGCACACCUUUAAUCUGGGCUACACCUUCUGCUGGAGACAAUAUAAGGACAUUGGAAGAAGGGAGUCUUGCUCUUGCUCCUUCCCCUGCUUGCCGUGUGAGAUUGAGUAACUGCUAGAUCCUUGGACUUCCAUUAACAGCUACUACUGAACCAUUGUUGGGAAUUGGGCUGCCGACUGUAAGUCAUCAAUAAACUCCUUUACUAUAUAGAGACUACCCAUAAGUUCUGUGACUCUAGAGAACCCUGACUAAUACAGAUGGACUCUCAGUAUCUCACCUAUAGAGUUUAGGUUUUCCUCAACUCAUCCUGCCUCAGCCACUUAAAUGCUGAGAUUAUAGGUUUGAGCCACGAUCCGAUUCCAGGUGCCAGGAAGGAUUUUCUAAUAGACAUUAUAGUAGACCUAGCUUAGUUUUCUUAACUCCAUAUGGACAGCUUGUUUGAAUAUCCUAUUAAACACACACACACACACACACACACACACACACACACACACACACAAAGAGAGUACAGGCACUUGCUGCCAACCCCCCCCCCACACACACACACAGAGUACAGGCACUUGCUGCCAA